AUGGCUUUGCCUGCUUUGCAUUCCAUUCACACUUCUCUCGCCCAAAGCCCAAUUGACCUACAUGAAAAAUGAUAUAUAAUAAAAAAUGAAAACAUAAGCGGUCUCUUUCUGCGUCGAAAUGCAGAAAAGAGAUUCUCGUCUGGUAACCCUCUUCUACCCGUGGGAGAGAUACUGCUAGGCUUCCAUUAAUGAAAGAUGUGUGGCUGAGAUGAGAUCAAUCCUUACACACUCGACUUUUCCUAGCCAAGAUGAUAUAUAAACAAUCAGCCAGUGCUUUUGAAGACCAUUGCUUCUCAUAUAUGUGUGAUGUUUAGGAGGGGCAAAUAACACUUUGUAUUUAGUUUGCACUUCGAUUCUUCAUUCUCUGAGCCCAUAUUUUCUGUCUUUUUAGAUCUGAUGGCUACAUGUACCAAGGGAAGGCAAGGGAAUCAGUAGCCUUCAUCUUGAAUUGUCAAAGCGGCUGUAGCUAUACUAAUUAUGUCUAAGAAGCUAACUGGCCGGUGGUUGUAUGAGAUUUCUUUGAGAUCUCUGUCGACAUAUCUGCUUACCGAGCUUCUCACAUUUU